UGGGGAAUAUGGCACAAUGGGCGCAAGCCUGAUGCAGCGACGCCGCGUGGGGGAUGACGGCCUUCGGGUUGUAAACUCCUUUCGCUAGGGACGAAGCUUUUUGUGACGGUACCUAGAUAAGAAGCACCGGCUAACUACGUGCCAGCAGUCGCGGUAAUACGUAGGGUGCGAGCGUUGUCCGGAAUGACUGGGCGUAAAGGGCUCGUAGGUGGGUUGUCGCGUCGUCUGUGAAAUUCCUGGGCUUAACUCCGGGCGUGCAGGCGAUACGGGCAUAACUUGAGCACUGUAGGGGUAACUGGAAUUCCUGGUGUAGCGGUGAAAUGCGCAGAUAUCAGGAGGAAGACCGAUGGCGAAGGCAGGUUACUGGGCAGUUACUGCCGCUGAUGAGCGAAAGCAUGGAUAGCGAACAGG
rnacentral:rRNA from 1 species